AUGACUAGUACUCAACGCAGUGAAAGCGCCAAUCACAUGCUUAAAAGUUAUGUCCUCCCGGGCUGUCCGAUGCAUUUGUUCAUAAAGCAAUAUGAGAAGCUCCAGAUUGACAAGGACUCUGAAGAGAGUUUCCAGGAGAAAAGCACUGCACUGAAUAGUGUUUUGCUAAGAGUAAAUCUCCCAAUUGAGAGGCAUGCUACCAAUGUUUGA
rnacentral:rRNA from 1 species